rnacentral:lncRNA from 1 species
GCCAAAUGACCGGCAGACCCAUGACUUUUCUGUUUGCUUGCACGAAUUUUUUUUUUAAGUAAUGGCUGCACGAAUUUUUUUUCCAGGCAUUUUUCUUUGCACGAAUUUUUUUGGGGGAAUUUUCACCCCCCCCCCCCUCCUGGGAUUUCUAAUGGUCCGCCCCUUAGAAGAAGAAAAUUGCAUUAGAAAUAACAUUUAAAAUUACAAACGGGCCUUCAAGGUAUUGUUAAAGUAGCAUAAAAUGGACAAUAGGCUAAUAGAAAAUUGUCUAUGAACAACAAAAUGUUCUAUCUCUACAGUCAGUAAAGACUGAUUUGCAUAGAGUUUGCAAAUACAAGAUACAGACUAAUUCAAAUCUUUGACCAUGACUAGGCCACGAGAGUUACGACCAAAUAAAAGCUG